UAAUUUCUUUGGAAUCUCAAAGUUUGUCAUAAUGUCAUCUUUUUUUUUCCCCUAGGCCCUCGUGUGAAGAAUAUGUUGUCUUGAACUCAACCAUCAUAUAAUCGGUUUCAUCUAUAAAAUAAUAUCUCCAUAUUCUUAUUUUUUGUGCUUGUUCGUGAUUUCUUGAUUCAAUAACCUGUAUGCAUAGGAACCACAAAAGUAAAAAAAAAAAAAAAAAACUAUAGUAUUCAUUUAUAAACCAUCCAUAAAUUUAAAUAGAAUAAUAACGAAAACAAAAAAGCAUAACAAUGUCAUAAAAGCAUAAGGAAGAAUAAAAUAAGUCACAUGAAAAAAAAAUAAAGGAGAGAUGAAUAAUUUUUUUAUAGGAGAGACGAAGAAACUACUUUUUAUGUGAACAUUUGAUUCAUCAAAAUCGCAGUAUGAAGGAAAUAUUACUCAUGGAACAUUGACAUCAAUGAAAAUAAAUAUGAAGAAAAAAGAAUAAAAAAACUAAACAAUCUUUGUCUGAACAUUUGAU
rnacentral:lncRNA from 1 species